UUCGGCUGUUCGCCGAUUAAAGUGGUACGUGAGUUGGGUUUAAAACGUCGUGAGACAGUUUGGAUCCUAUCUGUCGUGGGCGUUGGAGAUUUGAGAGGAGCUGCUCCUAGUACGAGAGGACCGGAGUGAACGUACCUCUGGUGUUCCGGUUGUCACGCCAGUGGCAUUGCCGGGUAGCUAUGUUCGGAAUAGAUAACCGCUGAAAGCAUCUAAGCGGGAAACUAGCCUCAAGAUGAGAUCUCACUGGAACCUUGAGUUCCCUGAAGGGCCGUCGAAGACUACGACGUUGAUAGGUUGGGUGUGUAAGCGCUGUGAGGCGUUGAGCUAACCAAUACUAAUUGCCCGUGAGGCUUGACCAU
rnacentral:rRNA from 1 species